AGAGUUUGAUCCUGGCUCAGGAUGAACGCUAGCGGCAGGCUUAUACAUGCAAGUCGAGGGGCAGCACGGUUAGCAAUAACUGGUGGCGACCGGCGCACGGGUGCGUAACACGUAUACAAUCUACCUUAAACAGGGGGAUAGCCUUUCGAAAGAGAGAUUAAUACCCCGUAAUAAAUUGAACGGCAUCGUUUGAUUUUGUAAAGCUCCGGCGGUUUGAGAUGAGUAUGCGUCUGAUUAGCUAGUUGGUGAGGUAACGGCUCACCAAGGCGACGAUCAGUAGGGGAUCUGAGAGGAUAACCCCCCACACUGGUACUGAGACACGGACCAGACUCCUACGGGAGGCAGCAGUAAGGAAUAUUGGUCAAUGGAGGCAACUCUGAACCAGCCAUGCCGCGUGCAGGAUGACGGCCCUAUGGGUUGUAAACUGCUUUUAUACAAGAGAAAACCCUGGUACGUGUACCAGGUUGAUAGUAUUGUAAGAAUAAGCAUCGGCUAACUUCGUG
rnacentral:rRNA from 1 species